rnacentral:lncRNA from 1 species
CCUGCAUCCAAACAGGUAUGCACAUCAGGUGGCCAACACAAGCAACGGCCACAGAGCCAACAGCAUCCACUCUUACAAAGAAAAAUCAAAGAAAAGGAAAAAAAAAUCUUACAAAGAUCCAGUCCAUUUUAACUAAACCUUCUGUUUAGUUUUGUGAAAUUAAACCACUGUGUUAAGAAGUACUACCAGAGCCUGGUUACCAUUCUGGGAGCCAGAGUCAUGAAGGAGGAAGGUGCCAAACACCUCUCACAGUGUAAAACAGCACAGCUCAAGCUGGAGAAGGACUUCACAGAAAUUCAGAGCCAAGGCAAGCUUAAUUCUCUACAUGCACAGCAUGCAAGAGAGUACCUGCUCCCUGACAAAGGACAAGGAAGAGGACAUCUCAUAUCCAUUGAUAAACAGAAACUACUGCAAAUAUAAAAAGACAAUUCUGGGAGAAGGUGUCAAGAAAUCUAAUGGGUUAACAACGUUCAGGACAUUUAAUCUUCAGCUGUGCCUUGUUUGUGCCAGCUGGAAUGGUAUAAGUCAUAAAAAG